rnacentral:rRNA from 1 species
CCUACGGGUGGCAGCAGUCGAGAAUCAUUCACAAUGGGGGAAACCCUGAUGGUGCGACGCCGCGUGGGGGAAUGAAGGUCUUCGGAUUGUAAACCCCUGUCAUGUGGGAGCAAAUUAAAAAGAUAGUACCACAAGAGAAAGAGACGGCUAACUCGGUGCCAGCAUCCGAGGUAAUACAGAGGUCUCAAGCGUUGUUCGGAAUCACUGGGCGUAAAGCGUGCGUAGGCUUUUACGUAAGUCGGGUGUGAAAGGCGCAGGCUCAACCCGCGGACGGCACAUGAUACUGCGAGACUAGAGUAAUGGAGGGGGAACCGGAAUUCUCGGUGUAGCAGUGAAAUGCGUAGAUAUCGAGAGGAACGCGCGUGGCGAAGGCGGGUUCCUGGACAUUAACUGACACUGCGUCACGAGGGCCAGGGGAGCGAAAGGGAUUAGAUACCUCUGUAGUC